AGAGUUUGAUCAUGGCUCAGGACGAACGCUGGCGGCGUGCCUAAUACAUGCAAGUCGAGCGGACAGAUGGGAGCUUGCUCCCUGAUGUUAGCGGCGGACGGGUGAGUAACACGUGGGUAACCUGCCUGUAAGACUGGGAUAACUCCGGGAAACCGGGGCUAAUACCGGAUGGUUGUUUGAACCGCAUGGUUCAAACAUAAAAGGUGGCUUCGGCUACCACUUACAGAUGGACCCGCGGCGCAUUAGCUAGUUGGUGAGGUAACGGCUCACCAAGGCGACGAUGCGUAGCCGACCUGAGAGGGUGAUCGGCCACACUGGGACUGAGACACGGCCCAGACUCCUACGGGAGGCAGCAGUAGGGAAUCUUCCGCAAUGGACGAAAGUCUGACGGAGCAACGCCGCGUGAGUGAUGAAGGUUUUCGGAUCGUAAAGCUCUGUUGUUAGGGAAGAACAAGUACCGUUCGAAUAGGGCGGUACCUUGACGGUACCUAACCAGAAAGCCACGGCUAACUACGUGCCAGCAGCCGCGGUAAUACGUAGGUGGCAAGCGUUGUCCGGAAUUAUUGGGCGUAAAGGGCUCGCAGGCGGUUUCUUAAGUCUGAUGUGAAAGCCCCCGGCUCAACCGGGGAGGGUCAUUGGAAACUGGGGAACUUGAGUGCAGAAGAGGAGAGUGGAAUUCCACGUGUAGCGGUGAAAUGCGUAGAGAUGUGGAGGAACACCAGUGGCGAAAGGCGACUCUCUGGUCUGUAACUGACGCUGAGGAGCGAAAGCGUGGGGGAGCGAACAGGGAUUAGAUACCCUGGGUAGUCCACGCCCGUAAACGAUGAGUGCUAAGUGUUAGGGGG
rnacentral:rRNA from 1 species